AUUGAACGCUGGCGGCAUGCUUUACACAUGCAAGUCGAACGGUAACAGGCCGCAAGGUGCUGACGAGUGGCGAACGGGUGAGUAAUGCAUCGGAACGUGCCCAGUCGUGGGGGAUAACUACUCGAAAGAGUAGCUAAUACCGCAUACGAUCUAUGGAUGAAAGCGGGGGACCGUAAGGCCUCGCGCGAUUGGAGCGGCCGAUGUCAGAUUAGGUAGUUGGUGGGGUAAAGGCUCACCAAGCCAACGAUCUGUAGCUGGUCUGAGAGGACAACCAGCCACACUGGGACUGAGACACGGCCCAGAAUCCUACGGGAGGCAGCAGUGGGGAAUUUUGGACAAUGGGCGCAAGCCUGAUCCAGCAAUGCCGCGUGCAGGAAGAAGGCCUUCGGGUUGUAAACUGCUUUUGUACGGAACGAAACGGCUCUGGUUAAUACCCGGGGCUAAUGACGGUACCGUAAGAAUAAGCACCGGCUAACUACGUG
rnacentral:rRNA from 1 species